rnacentral:rRNA from 3 species
GUCGAACGAUGAUGCCCAGCUUGCUGGGUGGAUUAGUGGCGAACGGGUGAGUAACACGUGAGUAACCUGCCCCUGACUCUGGGAUAAGCGUUGGAAACGACGUCUAAUACUGGAUAUGACUACCGGCCGCAUGGUCUGGUGGUGGAAAGAUUUUUUGGUUGGGGAUGGACUCGCGGCCUAUCAGCUUGUUGGUGAGGUAAUGGCUCACCAAGGCGACGACGGGUAGCCGGCCUGAGAGGGUGACCGGCCACACUGGGACUGAGACACGGCCCAGACUCCUACGGGAGGCAGCAGUGGGGAAUAUUGCACAAUGGGCGAAAGCCUGAUGCAGCAACGCCGCGUGAGGGAUGACGGCCUUCGGGUUGUAAACCUCUUUUAGUAGGGAAGAAGCGAAAGUGACGGUACCUGCAGAAAAAGCACCGGCUAACUACGUGCCAGCAGCCGCGGUAAUACGUAGGGUGCAAGCGUUGUCCGGAAUUAUUGGGCGUAAAGAGCUCGUAGGCGGUUUGUCGCGUCUGCUGUGAAAUCCCGAGGCUCAACCUCGGGCUUGCAGUGGGUACGGGCAGACUAGAGUGCGGUAGGGGAGAUUGGAAUUCCUGGUGUAGCGGUGGAAUGCGCAGAUAUCAUGAGGAACACCGAUGGCGAAGGCAGAUCUCUGGGCCGUAACUGACGCUGAGGAGCGAAAGCAUGGGGAGCGAACAGGAUUAGAUACC